CAGUGACGCUCGCCCCCCCCAGACGCCCAGGGCGUCCUGGCCCGGGCCCCCCACCGGCUGCAGGGCGCGGAGCUGCGGGUGCGCCCGGCCCCCCCCUGGGACCCAGCCGGGCUCCUGCUGCGGGGCGUCAGCCCCCAGACCCCCCCCGAGCUGCUGGAGCUCUACGUGGAGCGCGUGCUGGAGCGGCCCCCCGGCGCCUACAGCCUGCACCGCGCCGGGGACUGGGCGCUGCUGCGGCUACACGAGCCGCUCGACGACAACGGUGAGGGCACCGCGACGGCGGUUUGGGGGCGCUGUGGCCGUGCGGGGCUGGCUGCCCCCUCUCCCUGCCCGGCGCCGUGGUGCUGGGGGUGCCGCAGCCCCUGAUGCCAGCGGCGGGUGACUGGGAGCACUGGUGGGCGCUGGGAGGGCUGGGCGGGGAGGUGCCAGUGCAUGCCCCAGUGCAGCCCCGGCGUCACCGCCGCCUCCCCGGCAGCGCUGGCAGCGGUGGAGGAGCGGGUGCGGUGCCGCGGGCUGGAGGGGGCCGCGCUGGCCGUGCAGCGGCUGCCGCAGACCGACAGCGUGCGGGUGCGGGCGCCGGGGCUGCACCGGGACCUGCUGGAGCUCUACUUCGAGAACCGGCGCAGCGGCGGCGGCCGCGUGCGCGCCGUGCGGGUGCUGCCGGGGGGCCAAGUGGCCAUCAUCUCCUUCCAAGAGCCCGCAGCGGGGGCGCGCAUGGCCCCCAGCUGCACCACGUCUCUCUCCCGGCAGUGGCGGCACGGGUGCUGCAGCAGCCGCACCAGCUGCAGGGCAGCGAGCUGGCCGUCUCGCCCUACUACGAGUUCCUGGAGCUGGCGGAGGAGCUGGACCCCACGGACGCUGAGCCGCCUGCUCCCGGCCAUGAGGAGAGCAGCCCGGAGCCGGCGGAGCUCCCGCCGGAGCCGAGCCCGGUGCCAUCAGCAGCCGAGUCCGAGCCACGGCUGCAGACGGUGACGGAGGCAAUGGCGCAGGAGCGCCUGGCACUGCCGGCCCCG
rnacentral:lncRNA from 1 species